rnacentral:rRNA from 1 species
GCAGUCGAGCGGAGAUGAGGUGCUUGCACCUUAUCUUAGCGGCGGACGGGUGAGUAAUGCUUAGGAAUCUGCCUAUUAGUGGGGGACAACAUUCCGAAAGGAAUGCUAAUACCGCAUACGCCCUACGGGGGAAAGCAGGGGAUCUUCGGACCUUGCGCUAAUAGAUGAGCCUAAGUCGGAUUAGCUAGUUGGUGGGGUAAAGGCCUACCAAGGCGACGAUCUGUAGCGGGUCUGAGAGGAUGAUCCGCCACACUGGGACUGAGACACGGCCCAGACUCCUACGGGAGGCAGCAGUGGGGAAUAUUGGACAAUGGGCGGAAGCCUGAUCCAGCCAUGCCGCGUGUGUGAAGAAGGCCUUUUGGUUGUAAAGCACUUUAAGCGAGGAGGAGGCUACUUAGAUUAAUACUCUAGGAUGGUGGACGUUACUCGCAGAAUAAGCACCGGCUAACUCUGUGCCAGCAGCCGCGGUAAUACAGAGGGUGCGAGCGUUAAUCGGAUUUACUGGGCGUAAAGCGUGCGUAGGCGGCUGAUUAAGUCGGAUGUGAAAUCCCUGAGCUUAACUUAGGAAUUGCAUUCGAUACUGGUCAGCUAGAGUAUGGGAGAGGAUGGUAGAAUUCCAGGUGUAGCGGUGAAAUGCGUAGAGAUCUGGAGGAAUACCGAUGGCGAAGGCAGCCAUCUGGCCUAAUACUGACGCUGAGGUACGAAGCAUGGGGAGCAAACAGGAUUAGAUACCCUGGUAGUCCAUGCCGUAACGAUGUCUACUAGCCGUUGGGGCCUUUGAG